AAAAAUUCACACAUGAUUGUUUUUUUCUCUUAUUUUCCCUUCUAGGAUUGUAUACGUGAAUUAAAGAGUGUACAAGUGAAGUAAUACAUUUCAAAAUAUAUAUUGUUUAUACAGGUCAUGUGAGGGAAGACCCCAUUAAACCAACACAGGUUGGCCUGUCUAAUUGUUCUCUUCAGUGUCACCUCACUAUCACAGCUCAUGGCUAGAUGGAAGGUCUGAGCUGGAAAGAUGCUGAUGUCUGGAACUUUAUCACUGUUAGGGCAUCAUACCCCAAAUGGUUACUUUUUUCUUUUGUGCUGCCAGUAGGAAUAACCAGUUUCCUGAACUUUAGUGACUUGCAUCAUUAUUUUAAAAAUGGUAUUAUUAAAAGAAUUACAACAAUACCACAGGUCAUUGAAAAAAGCCAAGCCAGCUCGAGGUUUCUGAGUAGAAGUUGCUGUCCUAUUUUUCUCUAUCCUGUCUCAUUCCUGUUCUCCAAGGAAACUGCUGUAAGCAGUUUGAUGUUAGUCUUGCAGACCUUUUUAUUCUUAUUUAUUUAUUUAAUAGAAGUUUGGUCGACUUGCAAUAUUAUAUUAGUUUCAGGUAUAUUGCAAACCAUUUAAAACACACACGUGCGUGUACACAGGGGGUGUUCUUUUAAAACAAAAACUUGGUUUUCAGGGUAUGUAUAUAUAUACACAUUCUUUUUCUCACAUUAUCCUCCAUCAUGUUCCAUCAUAAGUGGCUAGAUAUAGUUCCCUGUGCUAUACAGCAGUGUAAUGUACUAUUCUUAAUAAUAUGUCAUGGACAUCAUUCCAUAUUAGAACAUAUAGGAUGUAUUUCUUUCUUUUAAACAACUGCUUAGUAUUCCACAGUGAACGUGUACAUCAGAUAUAACCAUUUUCUUAUGAGUGGGCUUAUUCAUUUAUUUACCAAACAUUUAUUGUUGUGCUUCUGUGUUCCAAGAUCAGCACAGCAUGGGGAAUUUGGUGGUGAGAAAAAGUUUGCAAAUCUGGUGAGGGAGACAGAUAUUAAUUAAAACCAUGCCCAAGCAGUGCUGUGUAAAGCCUGGUAGAGAAUAUAACUUAGGGAGAUCAAGAUAGGAUUUCCCGAAGAAAGACCUGUGAAACCUCUCUAUGAAGUUGAAGGCUUCUUGGAAUUUAAUUCUACGAACUUAAAUAAUCAAGGAAGGCAAGGAUGAAUAUGCUAGGACCCUGCGGCAAAUGAAAGCAUGGUGAGUAAGAGGGGCUGAGCCAAGACUCGUGGGGCUGGAGCCUGAGAAAUGAAGGCAGGUGUUGUGAGAUGAGGCUGGAGGUGGGACCAGGUUCGGCAGGGCUGAUGGGCCAGUUCCUGGAGCUUUGCCAUUACCCUGUGAGCAAUGGAUGCUCUUCAGGUGUUCUGAGAGGGGUGGGAUAGGGGUCGCACGACCAGAAUGGCAUCGUCUAUCAUGGGGAGGAAGGACUGGAGAAUCUGUGAAAGUCCAAAUGAGAGAUGAUUGUAUCUUGGAUUAAGAUGCUGACGAUGGGAAAGGAGAGAAACAGAGCUAUGCAGGAGGUAGAGGUGAAAGGACUUGGUGGUGGACUGGAUGCAGGAGGAGGGUUAAGGGGAGGGAGGGAGAAAUGCCGAGAUGACUCAUAGGUUCCUGGAUUAGGUGUGUGAAAGGAGGAGGAACAUCCAGAGAUGUUAGCAUCACCAUCAGAAGAGAAUGGGGUUUUGGCGGGGAAGGGGGUAUGAUCGGGGCAGAAGAGGAAGUUUUAUACAUACUGAGACAUCCAAGAGAUGUCAGUGCUGUUUUAUCCCUUUCUGGUGCUCAGAGGGGAGGUGUGGUCCAGAGAUGUAUCUUUGGGGGUCAUUUGCAUGGAGGCGACCACAACGCCUGUGGUGUGGCUUUAGAUGGCUUCUGGAGAGCAUUAGAGUGCAGGGAGGAGGGUUUAGACUAGUCUUAAACAACUUUUCAUUCAAUAGAACUAUAAAAUAUUUGGUGACUGUGUUGUGGCCACUGAAGUAGACUUAGAGAUAGUUUGGUGCUUAAUGUAAAUCACACAUGUUUAUAAGGAAGGCUAUUUUGCACGUUGGAUAAAACACCAUUCUCUCUCAAGAGGUCCAGUGACUGUGGCUCCACUUCCAACUUUUUGAUCAGGGAUCUAGACCCAUCAAGUUACUUUUUUUCUCCUGAAAAAUGAGGAUAAUAAUAUGUUUUUUUAAAAAAAUUUCUACCAUGUAUGAUUUGCGUGAGGGCCAAGUGAGAUAAUGUAUGUGAAAAUACUUUGCAAAUUGUCAUUUUCAAACUAGAUUACAAGGUAGGCUGGUAGCAGUGUGGUCAGAUUCAUUUCAGAGUUGAAGCAGAAGGUAUAUUUUUUUCAGCAGAUGCUGGACUGACUUGAGGAAAAAGAAUGGCUUGAUUUUUAAAAGUGUCUCUCAACUAUUUCUGCAUUUGAUUUUAGCCGAAGCCAUUGUGCUCUUUUAUAGAAAAUAAGGGAUAAAGUGGUGGGGGCCUGAUGAUCUGAUACACGUCAAAGACUGUACCGAGGCAGACAAGGUCUUGGGAAGGACACCUGGAUUGAUCCAGAGAGUCAGGAAUGGUCUUUGUGAGGGAUGAUAAAAGAAUUAGGGCUUUUCAUUCUGGAAAGACCUGGGCUGAGAGGGGAAUAUGAUUGAAAUUUAAUAAAAAUCAUAGGAUAAAAAUAUGAACUUAUUAAAUCCCAGAGCACAAGAACUAGGGACAACUUUAUCAUUUUAAGGAAAUAGUUUUAGGGCAAAGUAAAAAUAGCAUUUCUUUCCACUGGAAUAGUAAGCAUAUGAAACUUACUACUCUGAAAGUUGGCUAGGACCAAACCAGCUGUCAUAAGAGCAAGAUAUAUUGUUGGAGGACAGAAUCCUGUGCAAAGCAAAAUUACAACUGUUUGGGUAAAUCUCCCUAAUCUUGGAGGAUGACACCAUGGAGAUGGAGCAUUAGCCUUUCCUGCCCCUAUCUGGCAUCUGUGUCCAAAUCAGGAUUCCUGAGUGGAUGGAUGUGCCAGAGAGGACAGAGGAGAGGAUUUGAGCUCGGAGGGCGUGGCUGCAAGUCCUUCCUCUCCGACAUUAGGGACUCCUUUUUUUAUACUCAGUUUCCUUAC
rnacentral:lncRNA from 1 species